ensembl:snRNA U6 U6 spliceosomal RNA
GUGCUCGCUUCGGCAGCACAUAAACUAAAAUUGGAACCAUACAGAGAAGAUUAGCAUGGCCCCUGCGCAAGGAUGACACGCAAAUUUGUGACGUGUUCCAUGUUUUU